rnacentral:rRNA from 1 species
AACGAACGCUGGCGGCGUGGAUAAGACAUGCAAGUCGAACGGGAAUGAACGGGUAGCAAUAUUCGGACAUUCUAGUGGCGAAAGGGUGCGUAACACGUAGACCAUCUACCUCUAAGUGUGGGAUAGCUCGGCGAAAGCCGGAUUAAUACCGCAUGUGGCUUAGGAACGCAUGUUCCAAAAGUUAAAGCCGGGGACCGUAAGGCCUGGCGCUUGGAGAUGAGUCUGCGGCCUAUCAGCUUGUUGGCGGGGUAACGGCCCACCAAGGCUAAGACGGGUAGCUGGUCUGAGAGGACGACCAGCCACACGGGGGACUGAGACAC